rnacentral:rRNA from 1 species
AUUGAACGCUAGCGGGAUGCUUUACACAUGCAAGUCGAACGAGUGGCGGACGGGUGAGUAAUAUAUCGGAACGUGCCCAGUAGCGGGGGCUAACUACUCGAAAGAGUGGCUAAUACCGCCUACUAUUGGAGCGGCCGAUAUCGGAUUAGCUAGUUGGUGGGGUAAAGGCGCACCAAGGCAACGAUCCGUAGCUGGUUGGCGAGGACGACCAUCAACACUGGGACUGGGACAGGGCCCAGACGCCUACGGAGUGCAGCAGUGGGGAAUUUUGGACAAUGGGGGAAAACCUUAUCCAGCCAUCCCCGGUGUAUGAGAAGGCCUUCGGGUGGUAAAGUACUUUUGGCAGAGAAGCGGUAUCUGCAGAAUAAGCACCGGCUAACUACGUGCCAGCAGCCGCGGUAAUAC